UACGGAGGGUGCAAGCGUUAUCCGGAUUCACUGGGUUUAAAGGGUGCGUAGGCGUAUAGGUAAGUCCGUGGUGAAAUCCUGCAGCUUAACUGCAGAACUGCCAUGGAUACUAUUUAUCUUGAAUAUCGUGGAGGUUAGCGGAAUAUGUCAUGUAGCGGUGAAAUGCUUAGAUAUGACAUAGAACACCCAUUGCGAAGGCAGCUAACUACGCGAUAAUUGACGCUGAUGCACGAAAGCGUGGGGAUCAAACAGG
rnacentral:rRNA from 1 species